ACCAUUACCUUCACGUGCUCUUCC
rnacentral:siRNA from 1 species